rnacentral:tRNA from 1 species
GGUGGCUCAGUGGGAGAGUGCUUGCCUUGCAUGCAUGAGGCCCUAGGUUCGAUUCCUCAGCACCA